GACGGAGGGUGCAAGCGUUGUUCGGAAUUACUGGGCGUAAAGGGCGCGUAGGCGGUCUGUUAAGUCGGGUGUGAAAACCCCGGGCUCAACCUGGGAAUUGCAUUCGAUACUGGAUAGCUAGAGUUCGGCAGAGGGAAGCGGAAUUUCCGGUGUAGCGGUGAAAUGCGUAGAGAUUUGGAGGAACACCAGUGGCGAAGGCGGCUCACUGGUCCGGUUCUGACGCUGAGGCGCGAAAGCGUGGGGAGCAAACAGG
rnacentral:rRNA from 1 species